ACCCAAUAGAUACCCUGGUAGUCCACGCUGUAAACGAUGAGUGCUAGGUGUUGGGGGUCAAACCUCGGUGCCGCAGUUAAACGCAUUAAGCACUCCGCCUGGGGAGUACGUUCGCAAGAAUAAAACUCAAAGGAAUUGACGGGGACCCGCACAAGCAGCGGAGCAUGUGGUUUAAAUUCGAAGCAACGCGAAGAACCUUACCUGGAUUUGACAUCCCUCUGAUCGUCUCUUAAUCGAGAUUUUCCCUUCGGGGACAGAGGAGACAGGUGGUGCAUGGUUGUCGUCAGCUCGUGUCGUGAGAUGUUGGGUUAAGUCCCGCAACGAGCGCAACCCUUGUCUUUAGUUGCCAUCAAGUAAAGUUGGGCACUCUAAAGAGACUGCCAAGGUAAACUUGGAGGAAGGUGGGGAUGACGUCAAAUCAUCAUGCCCUUUAUGUCCAGGGCUACACACGUGCUACAAUGGCCGAUACAACGGGCAGCUAAGGAGCAAUCCGGAGCAAAUCCUACAAAAUCGGUCCCAGUUCGGAUUGUGGGCUGAAAUUCGCCC
rnacentral:rRNA from 1 species